CAGUAGCCGCGGUAAUACGUAGGGUGCAAGCGUUAAUCGGAAUUACUGGGCGUAAAGCGUGCGCAGGCGGUUAUAUAAGACAGAUGUGAAAUCCCCGGGCUCAACCUGGGAACUGCAUUUGUGACUGUAUAGCUAGAGUACGGCAGAGGGGGAUGGAAUUCCGCGUGUAGCAGUGAAAUGCGUAGAUAUGCGGAGGAACACCGAUGGCGAAGGCAAUCCCCUGGGCCUGUACUGACGCUCAUGCACGAAAGCGUGGGGAGCAAACAGGAUUAGAUACCCCCGUAGUCCUGUCUCUUAUACC
rnacentral:rRNA from 1 species